rnacentral:rRNA from 1 species
GACGAACGCUGGCGGCGUGCCUAAUACAUGCAAGUCGAGCGGACAGAAGGGAGCUUGCUCCCGGAUGUUAGCGGCGGACGGGUGAGUAACACGUGGGUAACCUGCCUGUAAGACUGGGAUAACUCCGGGAAACCGGAGCUAAUACCGGAUAGUUCCUUGAACCGCAUGGUUCAAGGAUGAAAGACGGUUUCGGCUGUCACUUACAGAUGGACCCGCGGCGCAUUAGCUAGUUGGUGGGGUAAUGGCUCACCAAGGCGACGAUGCGUAGCCGACCUGAGAGGGUGAUCGGCCACACUGGGACUGAGACACGGCCCAGACUCCUACGGGAGGCAGCAGUAGGGAAUCUUCCGCAAUGGACGAAAGUCUGACGGAGCAACGCCGCGUGAGUGAUGAAGGUUUUCGGAUCGUAAAGCUCUGUUGUUAGGGAAGAACAAGUGCGAGAGUAACUGCUCGCACCUUGACGGUACCUAACCAGAAAGCCACGGCUAACUACGUGCCAGCAGCCGCGGUAAUACGUAGGUGGCAAGCGUUGUCCGGAAUUAUUGGGCGUAAAGGGCUCGCAGGCGGUUUCUUAAGUCUGAUGUGAAAGCCCCCGGCUCAACCGGGGAGGGUCAUUGGAAACUGGGAAACUUGAGUGCAGAAGAGGAGAGUGGAAUUCCACGUGUAGCGGUGAAAUGCGUAGAGAUGUGGAGGAACACCAGUGGCGAAGGCGACUCUCUGGUCUGUAACUGACGCUGAGGAGCGAAAGCGUGGGGAGCGAACAGGAUUAGAUACCCUGGUAGUCCACGCCGUAAACGAUGAGUGCUAAGUGUUAGGGGGUUUCCGCCCCUUAGUGCUGCAGCUAACGCAUUAAGCACUCCGCCUGGGGAGUACGGUCGCAAGACUGAAACUCAAAGGAAUUGACGGGGGCCCGCACAAGCGGUGGAGCAUGUGGUUUAAUUCGAAGCAACGCGAAGAACCUACCAGGUCUUGACAUCCUCUGACAACCCUAGAGAUAGGGCUUUCCCUUCGGGGACAGAGUGACAGGUGGUGCAUGGUUGUCGUCAGCUCGUGUCGUGAGAUGUUGGGUUAAGUCCCGC